UACCGCAGAAUCUAGCCUGCUAUUCCAGGCUGCUUUGCCAAUGGCUGAAGCAGAAUAGUAGGUGGAGCCACGUCGGUUUAAGAGACACGUGUACAGAGGAACCAGGAAGCGACUGCCGGAAUUGGAAUAUCCGCUGUAUUUUGCAACAUCUGGGUGAUCUUAUUGAGUGUCUUCAAAUCCAGGAUUACUCAUUAUGAUACUUGGUUACAAUCCAGUGUUGCAAGCACUGCUAGGAACCUUACUGACGUGGGGAUUGACAGCUGCUGGCUCAGCACUUGUAUUUAUCUUUUCCAGUGGGCAGAGACAAAUCCUGGAUGGAAGUCUAGGCUUUGCUGCUGG